CCGGCCGGGGUGGGACAGGACGGGGCGAUCGGGGCUCUCGGGGCCGCCAUGGCCGCCCCUCCGCGCCGUCUGCUGCUCGCCUCCAACUCCAGCCUGCACGGACAAGGCUACCUGGCCCACUGCGAACCGCAACUGCGGACCUUCUUCGGACCAGAAGUGAAGAGAAUCCUCUUUGUUCCUUAUGCCUUGCACGACCGAGAUGCCUAUGCCAAGACCGUCAGAGAAAAGUUUGAAGCGUUAGGAUAUGGACUAGACAGUAUUCAUGAGUCUUCUGAUCCUAUUGAAGCUGUGAGGAAAUGUGAAGCAAUAUUUAUAGGUGGCGGUAACACUUUCAGACUUCUGAAAACUCUCUACGACAAUAAUUUGAUCCCAGAGAUUAGGAAGAGAGUCUUGCAGGCAGGUGUUCCAUAUAUGGGGUCUAGUGCUGGAACAAACGUAGCAACCGCCAGCAUCAGCACAACCAAUGAUAUGCCCAUCGUCUUCCCUCCUUCAUUAGAAGCUCUUGGAUUUGUCCCUUUUAACAUCAAUCCCCACUAUCUGGAUCCAAUCCCCGGCAGCACACACAUGGGGGAGACACGUGAGGAUCGUAUUCGCCAAUUCCACGAGGAAGCCAACACCCCUCCUGUAUUGGUAGUAUUUCUUUCCUCUUAAGAAGCUGAAGGCAGCAGUGUUCUCCUAGCACCGAUCUAAAAUUAAAGGGUGGAGACUCAAAGCUGGAAUAGUCGGUACCCUGGGUCGGCCCUGCCCUUGAUUCUCCCACUUUUUCAGGGUUUACGUGAAGGAUCCCUGUUGCUGGUGGAAGGAGACAAAGCAACUCUUCUUGGAAGAACCAAAGCUCGGCUCUUUAUGAGGGGCAAAACACCAACGGAGCAUGAGCCUGGAACAGAUUUCAGUUUCCUGCUGAAGAUCUAGAAACCAAAGUCACAGCUGAAAGAAAAAAAAAAAGCCACCACAAAGAUGACUAAAGGGGAACGUGGAAAUAAUCAAUUUGAUUUAUUUUUAUAAGUUUAAUCACAAAUGGAUGUAAGGGUGGGAGUAGGGGAAUGAAUCUCUCCAUCGAGGUAGAGAAGCACAGUGUUAAAGAUUUGUUCUGAUCUUUGGGGAAAUACAGGCCCCCGGGCAGAUACAUUACAAUAAAUCCUUGGUUACGGUUAAGUGCCGGCUGCGAUGUAGAGGUUUUGCGCACUGAUUUUUAUUCUUUUUCAUAACCCGACACAAGAAGUAGCAGAGAGACACUAUAGAGGCUUGCUUUACACUUUCUUGGUAUGACAGUGUUUAUUUUGUGACUUUAGAGUGCCACUAUAAAGUUACCUUUAAAUGAAAA